GCAAAACAAGUGUGUUUCACAUGAGCUGUGCUGCAGUCGUGGUACAAUCCAGUUUACCGAAAUGGCGGAGACAGCGGACAGGAUGGAGGUGUCCCAGGGAGAGAGCUCAGCAAAACCUGCAGCAGAAGACAUGACCUCCAAAGACUACUACUUUGAUUCCUAUGCACACUUUGGCAUUCACGAGGAGAUGCUAAAGGAUGAAGUUCGUACUCUGACGUACAGAAACUCCAUGUUCCACAACAAGCAUCUCUUCAAGGAUAAGGUGGUGCUGGAUGUGGGAAGUGGAACCGGCAUCCUUUGUAUGUUUGCAGCCAAAGCUGGGGCCAAGAAAGUUAUUGGGAUUGAGUGCAGCAGUAUAUCAGACUAUGCUGUGAAGAUUGUGAAGGCCAACAAGUUGGAUCACAUUGUUACCAUCAUUAAGGGCAAAGUAGAAGAGGUUGAGCUUCCCGUGGAAAAUGUAGACAUAAUCAUUUCUGAGUGGAUGGGCUAUUGUCUCUUCUACGAGUCCAUGCUUAACACUGUCAUUUAUGCAAGAGACAAAUGGCUGAAACCUGAUGGCUUGAUUUUCCCUGACAGAGCCACGCUCUAUGUCACUGCUAUUGAGGACCGACAGUACAGGGACUACAAAAUUCACUGGUGGGAGAAUGUUUAUGGCUUUGAUAUGUCCUGUAUCAAGGAAGUGGCCAUUAAGGAGCCACUAGUGGAUGUUGUUGACCCCAAACAGCUCGUUAGUACUGCCUGCCUCAUUAAGGAGGUGGACAUCUACACAGUGAAGAUUGAGGACCUGUCCUUCACGUCACCUUUCUGCCUGCAGGUGAAAAGGAACGACUACAUUCAUGCGCUGGUAACCUACUUCAACAUUGAGUUCACUCGCUGCCACAAGAGGACAGGCUUCUCUACUAGCCCAGAGUCUCCUUACACUCAUUGGAAGCAGACUGUGUUCUACCUUGAUGACUAUCUGACGGUGAAGACCGGAGAGGAGAUCUUUGGCACCAUCAGCAUGAAACCCAACGUCAAGAAUAAUAGAGACCUGGACUUUACCGUCGACAUCGACUUCAAGGGUCAGCUUUGUGAGGUGUCCAAGACGUCAGAGUACAGGAUGCGCUAGAUUCCUUUAGCAUAAGUAUGUGAGGCAUCUCGGAGAGCAGUGUACGCGUGUGUGUGAGUGAAACCAUGAACAU